rnacentral:rRNA from 1 species
CCUACGGGUGGCAGCAGUGGGGAAUAUUGCACAAUGGGCGCAAGCCUGAUGCAGCCAUGCCGCGUGUGUGAAGAAGGCCUUCGGGUUGUAAAGCACUUUCAGCGGGGAGGAAGGCGGUGUGGUUAAUAACCUCACCGAUUGAUGUUACCCGCAGAAGAAGCACCGGCUAACUCCGUGCCAGCAGCCGCGGUAAUACGGAGGGUGCAAGCGUUAAUCGGAAUUACUGGGCGUAAAGCGCACGCAGGCGGUCUGUCAAGUCGGAUGUGAAAUCCCCGGGCUCAACCUGGGAACUGCAUUCGAAACUGGCAGGCUAGAGUCUUGUAGAGGGGGGUAGAAUUCCAGGUGUAGCGGUGAAAUGCGUAGAGAUCUGGAGGAAUACCGGUGGCGAAGGCGGCCCCCUGGACAAAGACUGACGCUCAGGUGCGAAAGCGUGGGGAGCAAACAGGAUUAGAUACCCGCGUAGUC